CUGGCUCAGGAUGAACGCUGGCGGCGUGCCUAACACAUGCAAGUCGAACGGAGAAUAUACGCUUCAGAAGCUUCGGCAGAUGAUUGUAUAUUCUUAGUGGCGGACGGGUGAGUAACGCGUGGGCAACCUGCCUCAUACUGGGGGAUAACAGCUGGAAACGACUGUUAAUACCGCAUAAGCGCACAGUGUCGCAUGACACAGUGUGAAAAACUCCGGUGGUAUGAGAUGGGCCCGCGUCAGAUUAGCCAGUUGGCGGGGUAACGGCCCACCAAAGCGACGAUCUGUAGCCGGCCUGAGAGGGCGGACGGCCACAUUGGGACUGAGACACGGCCCAAACUCCUACGGGAGGCAGCAGUGGGGGAUAUUGCACAAUGGAGGAAACUCUGAUGCAGCGACGCCGCGUGAGUGAAGAAGUAUUUCGGUAUGUA
rnacentral:rRNA from 1 species